AAUUUGUGCGGAAGUGGCGAAAUUGGUAGACGCACCAGAUUUAGGUUCUGGCGCCGCGAGGCGUAAGAGUUCAAGUCUCUUCUUC
rnacentral:tRNA from 1 species